rnacentral:rRNA from 1 species
AUUGAACGCUGGCGGAAUGCUUUACACAUGCAAGUCGAACGGCAGCACGGGGCAACCUGGUGGCGAGUGGCGAACGGGUGAGUAAUACAUCGGAACGUGCCCAAUCGUGGGGGAUAACGUAGCGAAAGUUACGCUAAUACCGCAUACGAUCUACGGAUGAAAGCGGGGGAUCGCAAGACCUCGCGCGAAUGGAGCGGCCGAUGUCAGAUUAGGUAGUUGGUGGGGUAAAGGCUCACCAAGCCAACGAUCUGUAGCUGGUCUGAGAGGACGACCAGCCACACUGGAACUGAGACACGGUCCAGACUCCUACGGGAGGCAGCAGUGGGGAAUUUUGGACAAUGGGCGCAAGCCUGAUCCAGCCAUUCCGCGUGCAGGAUGAAGGCCUUCGGGUUGUAAACUGCUUUGUUACGGAACGAAACGGCGAGCUCUAAUACAGUUUGCUAAUGACGGUACCGUAAGAAUAAGCACCGGCUAACUACGUGCCAGCAGCCGCGGU